CGAUCGGGAGUAGCAAUACUUGCCGGCGACCGGCGCAAGGGUGCGUAACGCGUGAGCAACAUGCCCGUAUCAGGGGGAUAAUCCAUGGAAACGUGGUCUAAUACCCCAUAGUAAUUAUGUAAGGCAUCUUAUAUAAUUUAAAGCUUUGGUGGAUACGGAUUGGCUCGCGUGACAUUAGCUGGGAUGGUAAGGUAACGGCUUACCAUGGCUACGAUGUCUAGGGGUUCUGAGAGGAAGGUCCCCCACCACUGGAACUGAGACACGGUCCAGACUCCUACGGGAGGCAGCAGUGAGGAAUAUUGGACAAUGGAUGGAAAUCUGAUCCAGCCAUGCCGCGUGCAGGAAGAACCGGCCCUAUGGGUUGUAAACUGCUUUUGUAUGGGAGCAAUAAGGGCUACGUGUAGUCCGAUGAGAGUACCAUACGAAUAAGCACCGGCUAACUCCGUGCCAGCAGCAGC
rnacentral:rRNA from 1 species